rnacentral:rRNA from 1 species
AGCGAACGCUGGCGGCAGGCCUAACACAUGCAAGUCGAGCGCCCCGCAAGGGGAGCGGCAGACGGGAGAGUAACACGUGGGAACGUACCUUUCAGUUCGGAACAACCCAGGGAAACUUGGGCUAAUACCGAAUACGCCCGCAAGGGGAAAGAUUUAUCGCUGAAAGAUCGGCCCGCGUCCGAUUAGCUAGUUGGUGAGGUAAUGGCUCACCAAGGCGACGAUCGGUAGCUGGUCUGAGAGGAUGAUCAGCCUCAUUGGGACUGAGACACGGCCCAAACUCCUACGGGAGGCAGCAGUGGGGAAUAUUGGACAAUGGGCGCAAGCCUGAUCCAGCCAUGCCGCGUGGGUGAUGAAGGCCCUAGGGUUGUAAAGCCCUUUC